rnacentral:rRNA from 1 species
UGCGCAGGCGGGAAGGUAAGUUAGAGGUGAAAUCUUGCGGCUUAACCGUAAAAUUGCUUCUAAUACUGCUUUUCUUGAGUACGGAAGAGAAUGAUGGAAUUCCUGGUGUAGCGGUGAAACGCGUAGAUAUCAGGAAGAACACCAGUGGCGAAGGCGGUCAUUUGGUCCGUUACUGACGCUCAGGCACUAAAGCGUGGGGAUCAAACAGGAUUAGAUACCCUGGUAGUCCACGCCCUAAACGAUGAAUACUUGAUGUUGGCUCCGCUAGGAGUCAGUAUCGCAGCUAACGCGAUAAGUAUUCCACCUGGGAAGUACGCUCGCAAGGGUGAA